rnacentral:misc_RNA from 1 species
AUGAAAACGCAGCGAAAUGCGAUACGUAAUGUGAAUUGCAGAAUUCAGUGAAUCAUCGAGUCUUUGAACGCACAUUGCGCCCCCUGGUAUUCCGGGGGGCAUGCCUGUCCGAGCGUCAUUGCUGCCCUCAAGCACGGCUUGUGUGUUGGGCCUCCGUCCUCCUCCCGGGGGACGGGCCCGAAAGGCAGCGGCGGCACCGCGUCCGGUCCUCGAGCGUAUGGGGCUUCGUCACCCGCUCUUGUAGGCCCGGCCGGCGCUUGCCGACACAUCAAUCUUUUUUCCAGGUUGACCUCGGAUCAGGUAGGGAUACCCGCUGAACUUAAGCAUAUCAAUAAGCGGAGGA